UAGAGGCCGUAUUCGCGCUUCCCACAUCAAAAGAGAAGACGAGGGAACCUGCGUUCCCCACGAACACCAUGCACAACAGGAACGGAAAAAACGGCAGAGCAGCAGAGCCCGUAGAGAGGGAAGCAUAAAAGGCAAUAAAAGAGGCCUCUAAUCCUCUACUUCACCAGAUGCAGAGAAAGACGCGUCGUGCGGGUUGCUCUGCCAGGCCCUUUCCACCCCUUCCUUCGCAUCACCGUGUUCGCUGCUGCACACACACGCGUAUAUAUGCUAUGUAUAUACGCGCAUACAUACAAGCAUACACUGCACGACGGACACCCGAGUGUCAAGUUGGAAAAAAAUGGAAGGGCGAAUAACGCGAAGCCAUCAGCUCCCCUCAGGUGGAUCUGCGCAUACAUACCUAUCUACCCUCACACGCACGCCCUGCGACAGUCUUGCCUGCACACUCCAGCACAAAGGAACAUCCGAACAAGUUUGAACUGUAGCUGGUGUGCGUGCAUGUGUCUGAGUUUGUGCUCCCCCGACUUCCUUCACGCUUCUCUUCCUCACUGCAUCUUCUCUGCACAUCUCCCCAUCUCUAUUUACUAUUACUACGCCUUCCGCUACCGUUCUCCUCGCAG
rnacentral:misc_RNA from 1 species